CUUAAGCGGCGCCGUCAAUUUACCAUGCGUCAUCUUUCUGUCUGUCGUGCAUUUGUCUGCCUUUUGUCUGUCGUCAUUGAUCAAACCAACCAACCACUUUCCUUGAAACUUGGCACGUGGGUAAAGACUCGAUGACAAUGCAAUCUCACAUCAAAUUUAAUUUAAUUAGAAGCUGUAUUAAUUUAUUAAGAAUUAAUUAAAAUGUCCUAUGUAAAAUACUAUUUACCGCGCACAUUUUUCAUGUUCAUUCGGUGCGCAAUUAAUUUUAGUCAUGAAGUUUUAUUGUGUUCAAAAGUUAUAAGAAUUGAGAUAUUUUUUAUAUAAUUAUGCACAAAUUAGUAGAAAAUAAAUGAUUGUCUAUAAUUGUAUAAUAAUGCACUAAUAUAUGAAUUUUGCUUUAUUAGCUCCAUGUGUCUUGGGCACGAAUGGGAAAAGUUUGUGAUCAUUUAAAUAACUGUAAAGAAAAGCGCGGGUCAAUAUAUUAUUCAGUUUCAUUAAAACUUAAGAAGCAACAUACGCUUCUCUUUAUAUUUAUUUAAAUAGUGAAUUAUAAUAUAUAUUUAUAGAAAAUCAUUUAUUUUAACUUUUUAGCGCAACAUUAUAUUAAAACGUUUUUUUUUUAAUUUUAAAAUGUAUUAUCUUCUUUCCUAAAUGCAAUUUUAUCUAUACCAUUUUACAUGAAAUACUCAUUUGUUUGUAGCUAUAGUAAGAACACUAUUUUUUUUUAAACAUACGUAUGUUUUAAUUUUUUUAAAAAUAUACCUGCACUUUUUGAUAUUAUGUUGUACAAUGUGAUAAUCAGCCCGUCCAGUAGACGCUUUCCGAUAACCACCAUGUCUUUUUCAAUUUCAACAUGUAUUCUAAGCAAUUUUUCAAUAGAAUUAGAUUUAUCAGGUUAGGCUGUUGACGGUUUGAAAUCUUAAAUAUACUAGAAUAUAGUUUUGGCGAAGGUUUAUCACCUAAAUAAAAGAGACUUCUGAUGAGUAAAGCACAUAGGCCUAGACUGUCUGAUACACAACACAGCCCUUGGUGUAAAUGUUUUGUAAUAAAUCGGGAGUUCCCGAAACGAGACUUGUGUGUUGCGGGGUGGGGCUUGCAGCUGCAGACGUGUCAAGGUGGUGUGUGAACUGUUUGCUACGCGUGUGUAGUUUUCAUUUGCCCGCGGCAUGGACCUUUCUUCCAAUUGUUGUGACUUCGAAUCGUCUGUUAUUGGGGUGUGUGCAGUCUGAGGCCCCCAUCACUUGGUUAAAACAUGUCGACAGCAUCUUUACCUAGAUACACAUCUAUUAAUUAGAUACUGCGUCUGUUCUUUGCUGCGUGGUCUAAAAAAAAGUAGACAUGGAGUAGAAUCCACACUAGGAAUGAUCUAUCAUACAAAACAAAUAGUUUGAGGAACAAUUGGGAAGUCGGAUGUGCUAAAAAUGGUGAACAUCUUCGUUUAAAUAGUCGGACAAAAAAUGACUCUCUAAAAACUACCACGAGAUAUUGCAAGCAACAGGCCCGAAAGAAUAAAUUUCACAUACGAUAUCACAGUGUUGUAAAGCCUCAUGCCUACUCCUUCCCGAGAAAAUACUUGUGGAAAUAUAAAUGGAAUCAUUCAUCAAAGUAUGUCAAGAAAAAAAUUAAGAAAACAAAAAAGAAAGCUAUGAAUGUUAAUAUGAAAAAAUUGACAAAAGCAAACGAAUUGGAUAUCAAUUAUAUCGGGUACGCCAGAGAAUAGAAACAAACUAGAUCGAAAUCUGUGACGGAUAUGGAUGGUACUUUACCAGUGCUGGCUGUGCAGAAUUUGAUUGAGCGUGCUCUAAGUACCGAAACAACGAAAAUAAAAUCUAAAAAACAAAAACCAAGUGGGAUUGGCAAGAGGGUAGUACAUUUCAAUCUAAAUUACAACCCAAACAUUAUCCACCAUUGUAGCGAGUUGAAUGUCGAGAAUGUGAAAUACCUGGCUUUAGACAGCAAUCAGAACAUCUUCAUUGGGCAUG